UCCUAUUCUGGUGAUAACUGCUACUGGUAC
rnacentral:piRNA from 2 species